GCAUAUCAAUAAGCGGAGGAAAAGAAACCAAUAGGGAUUGCCUCAGUAACGGCGAGUGAAGCGGCAACAGCUCAAAUUUGAAAUCUGGCUCUUUCAGGGUCCGAGUUGUAAUUUGUAGAGGAUGUUUCGGGUGUGGCUCCGGUCUAAGUUCCUUGGAACAGGACGUCAUAGAGGGUGAGAAUCCCGUAUGUGACUGGUAGCCUAUGCUCAUGUGAAACUCCUUCGACGAGUCGAGUUGUUUGGGAAUGCAGCUCAAAAUGGGUGGUAAAUUUCAUCUAAAGCUAAAUAUUGGCCAGAGACCGAUAGCGCACAAGUAGAGUGAUCGAAAGAUGAAAAGCACUUUGGAAAGAGAGUUAAACAGUACGUGAAAUUGUUGAAAGGGAAGCGCUUGCAACCAGACUUGCAUGUAGCUGAUCAACCGGUGUUCUCACCGGUGCACUCAGUUACGUUCAGGCCAGCAUCGGUUUCGACGGUUGGAUAAAGGCCUUGGGAAUGUAGCUCCUCUCGGGGAGUGUUAUAGCCCAGGGUGCAAUGCAGCCUGUUGGGACCGAGGACCGCGCUUCGGCUAGGAUGCUGGCGUAAUGGUUGUAAGCGACCCGUCUUGAAACACGGACCAAGGAGUCUAACAUCUAUGCGAGUGUUUGGGUGUCAAACCCAUACGCGUAAUGAAAGUGAACGGAGGUGAGAACCCUUAAGGGUGCAUCAUCGACCGAUCCUGAUGUCUUCGGAUGGAUUUGAGUAAGAGCAUAGCUGUUGGGACCCGAAAGAUGGUGAACUAUGCCUGAAUAGGGUGAAGCCAGAGGAAACUCUGGUGGAGGCUCGCAGCGGUUCUGACGUGCAAAUCGAUCGUCAAAUUUGGGUAUAGGGGCGAAAGACUAAUCGAACCAUCUAGUAGCUGGGUUCCUGCCGAA
rnacentral:rRNA from 1 species